GAAGAUUUGAAUUAGUCAUUUCUAGGUUUUUUUAUUACAUCAUAUUUUUAUAUACAGUCAAAUGUGCUGUAAUGCCCACACAUUAAUGACAUAAUUUUAAAAAAUUAAUGAGGAUGAAAUAUGCCUAUAACCCUCUCAGGAAAUCUACAUUUCACUAUGUCUUCAGGAUUCACUUCCUUUACAAAGUCUUCCCAGAUAAGACACUCAUCCAAUGAGAAAGGUCUUUCUUUACCUUCCAUGAAGUCUUUGUCAUUUACACAGUCUGAGGUCUGUUUCCUGUAUUGCUUUACUCUUGUCUUGGGGUUUUCUUUGUUUGUUUGUUUCCUAAUUUCCCAAUUAUAUUUCUUGUUUUCUAAAGUUAGAAGCUUGCUUUUCAAAGAUUCCAUGGCUUCUAGGAUGGCACUGGACCCAUAGAUGACUCUUCCAAAAUAUUAUUGAUUUAAUGAAUAUUGCAUAAGAAGAUGCAUUCUAGAACAAAUUAGCAAGUAAGAAUGCAGGUCUGUCAUUUACUGGGAUGUAGGCAAUCAGUUCCUGACUUUGUAGGCCAUUACGAGGUUUAGAACUCAACUAUGUUCUUUUAACCCGUAUAAUAAAUGACAAAUUUUAAAUUAGGAAAGCAAAGUGAAUUUUUCUUUUGAAAAAAAAAAAAACAAAAACAAAAUUACCUUCCUUUGGAAAUCAUUAUGAAAAGUUGUGUCUGUAAAGUAUGUUACCUUUAAAGACAAAGAAAAAAUACAACCAAAUAAUAUGUUACUAGAUCAUCAAUGGGUUUUUACCUGUUCACUAAGUAAAUUUUAAAAGAAUGAAUGAAUAACUUUGAAUGAUUCACAGCAAAUUUCUUGCUCAAUAUUAUGAAAAUAUUUUGUUUAAAAAUGCAGUUGAUAAGAAUGUAUUUCUUUUGAGAAACUCCAAUGUAUUAAAAACAUGAAGUUAAGAUAGAACUUUCAGUACCUUUAGAGAUUGCGAUAUUAAGAUUUUGUGCUUCAUCAAAUGCUGUGAAUCAUCAAUGUCGUUUGCUGAUUGGUAUUUCUGGCUCACAAUUCCUCUGGUUCACAGCAAUUGCUCUUGAAAAAAUAAGAAGUCUUUUAAUUUUAGAUAACACCAAAAAGAGAAGGUUUCAGUUUUAAGAAGUCCCAUUGGGAUGAUAGAAAGCAUUGUAUGGAGAACUGAAAAUGGUCAACCCCUUGAAAAUGAUCAGUAUUCUGUGGUUUUGGACCUUAGUUGAAAAUGACAUAAUCAUAUUUUCCUGGUCUUAUAAUGCUCCCUUACCUGAGCAAACUUGCAAGGAUAGGAGAGGAAGUCAAUGCCCCCACUUUGACCCUUAUUCAAACCUCAAGGUUUCAGGAAUUCCCAAAGAUUUAGAGUAGAAGUACACUGUGCCCUGCACACAGUAGGUACUUCAACGUUUAUGUCACACUUUAAUCAUCAAGCACAAUCACAGGACUCCAACUAAUGCUUCCCUCAGUGCAGCCCAAGGCACAUUCAGCAAUCUCACUCAGAACAACCAGGAGAGAUACUUAACACAAUGUAUGCCCUUAGGAAAAAAAAGUAGAAUAGCAUUAUCAAAGGCUCUGAUUUCUAGAUACAGGUGUGCUCUGACUUUUUCAUGCUUUCCUUUUUCUCUCUGAAAUAUGGGAAUAAUACCCCCUGUCACUGAGCCACUGGAAUGUUGAGGAGACAAUGAGUUAGCAUUGGAAAACAAUUCAGGGUGAAAGGUGCGGAUGUGAGCUCAAGGUAUUUGUUAAUGUUAUUACUCAAUCCAUUCUGGCCCAGUGUGGAAACAAAAGCAACUUUUAUUACAAAUAACACAACAUUGUUAAAAUAACCUUAGGAAAGAGAGAAUAAAUGAAUCUACCAAGAUAAAUAGAUAGCAGCUGGGUUAUUGAGACCUCAUGUUGAGGUUACAGGCUUUUAACACUAAAUGCAAUGUUCUUUUAAUUUUCAAGUAAGAAUCAUUUGGUGAAAAAAGUAGGUAACCUAUUAGUGCCUGUCUAUAAAAGAGUGAGGACUUAGAUUUCUAAAUGCAUACUAACAAGUAUAUUUAUAAAGACAGAUUUUAUUACCUGAUUGUAUAAAGCAGAAGUCUCCUUUAACAGAUUAAAAGAAGAGGUGGGUGGAAUAUGCUAACAAACAAAGGUCCAUGUGUGAAUCGGGGGAUAUUCAGGACUUAACUAGACUUCAGCAGACUCAUUUAGGAUCUUAAACACUGUCCCAAGUCCAAAAUUCACAUUUAAGCUGAGAGCAGCUAGGACUUUACUAUCUAUCUAUGGUUUAAGUUGUCUUCCACUCGGCUUGUAAAGCCUAGAGUGUCACUGUUUCUGCCCACAGAUAGCUGUCAAUCUUGGCCCAUAAGGAGAUGGAACCAUAGGAAAUGUUUCAUCUCCACUCCCAGCACUUCUUUCCAUAUAAAAAGAUUUCCACUAGCACAGCAGUCCUGACAUCUCUGUUCUCAGGAGAAGAGGGAAUCAUUUAAUGUUAUUGAGUCCCUUUACCUCCUCAUUCUCUUGAGAGCUAUGUGCAUAGAGAAAGCAUACUUUCUGCUCUGCUAUUUCAGACCCUACAUUUUAGAGUACAUUGUCUAAUGUUGGAAAUAAGGUAGGUAAGUCUCUCUAAAUCUGAGAUUCAGUGAUAGUAAGGCGAUCCUCCAAAAUCAACUUUAACAAUGAUAAAAUUGAUAAUUUCCUCUCUAUCUAUCUUACUCUGUUUUUCAAUGACUCAGACUCAGCUGGAGAAGAGAGAUGUUCCCUCUCUUGAGCUCACUAAAGACAUUCAACAACAUGUAAUACAAUGGGUGGGACAUUUGUCUUUUCCAGGCCAAGGAAAAGGAAAACAAACUUAGGUCCCCAAAGACUUAGGAUAAAAUAUCACAGAUAUAAACUUAGCAAAGUUGAACUCAGCUGUUAGAAAAUGGAAUUGGAUUAGUUUCCUGUGGCUGCUAUAACAAAUCACCACAAACUCAAUGGCUUAAAACCACAUAAACUUAUCCUCUCACAGUUCUAGGGGACAAAACUCCAAAAUCAGUUUCACUAGGCCUACAUCCAGGAGUUAGCCAGGCCAUGCUCCCUCUGGGAACUCUAAGAGAGAAUCUGGCCUUUCCUCUUCCUGCUCAUGGGACUGCCAGCACUUCUUGGCUUGUGGCUGCAUCACUCCCAUCUGCCUCCCUGAUCACAUUGCCUUCUCCUCGUUGUCAGCUCUCCCUCUGCCUCUCUCUCAUAAGGAUAUACGUGACUGCAUCUAGGGCCCAUUCUAAUAAGCUGUGAUAACCUCUUCAUCACAAUAUCCUUAACUUAAUCAUACCUAUAAAGACCUUAAAUUUUUAAUGUUUUAAUUGUUUUUAAUUUAAAAAUGUCUUUUCUUAGGUUCCUACAGACAGAAACCUUUUUUCUGUAUCAGGUAGUAUUUACAGAUUCUAAGGAUUAGGACCUGACGUCCUCGGGGGACUAUUUUUCCACAUGAGUUCAAUAGUCUUGAAUAAAUAUCAUUUAUAUCUCUUUUCUUCUUUUCUCUAUGUUCUGAAAUUUUACAAUUUAAGAUGCAAAAAUAUGUGGUCUAAUAUCAUAGUUUUAGAGAAUUAAGAAGGUAAAUUCAUCCUAGAGUUUGGAUCAAACAAAUAAUAUUUAGAAGGAAUAUAUCAUAAGGUGAUAACUUUGUAUGUCGGUAUAUAUGUAAGUGUGGGUGUGUGUAAAUCAUUAAAUUUCCAUAUAUAUACCAUAUAAUUUUCUACCUGAAAUGUUGUGAGUUAAAUCAAAAAAUGUAAAUUAUUCCUACAUAUCAUUAAUAUUAUAAAUUCAGGACCAUAGUUAUUUAUAUAUUUAUUUUUAAAAUUCUGGUUGAAGCAUUUGGUGAAACAGUUCCAGAAUUGAGUUUUUUAUUCUUUCUAUAUGUGGAGCAUAUGGUAAAAUUAUUCCUAUUUCUAAUAUGAGUUUGGUAUUUUAUUGUUAAACUCUAGAAAACAACCACCUUUUAGCCAAGAACCUUUGCCCUCUAAGACACACUCAAUUGUAUUUUACUUUUGCUACCAACAUUUAGGGGUUAGUUUACUUUGUGUUAUCAUAUUCCACCAAUAUUCAAAAGAUUUAUCACUUGGCAAGAGUUACUGAUGACACUCCAUGAGUAGGAAACCUCAAAUCUUGGUGAAGGGCAGGCACUGAGCUUCUGCUAAGCACUCUCACUAGCUAAGAAACUUGUGCUACAUACUACAUGUGCCCUGUUUCAGUUAGGACAGGCUAUGAUAUCGUAACAAAUAGACCGCCAAAUUCAGCUUCUCAUGUUUGAGGGAAAAACACAUCUAUCUCUCUUUUGGACAACAGUCCAGGAUGAGGGUUCCAGGUCAGUGGGAGCUCGGCUAUAUGCAGUGGACCAGGAUGGCAAGGGCUCUCCUGAAAGGACAGUAGAGCCCUUGCCAUCCUGGUCCACUGCAUAUAGUCUGCUCCAUCUCAGGAAGCCAGAAGGUAGAAGGGGAUGCAAAAACACAGCAGUGCAAGAGCUCUAGUAUGUGGCCACACAGAAUUGCAAUGGAGACUGGGAAGUAUAGUCUAGCUGUGUGCUCAGGAAGAAGAGGAGAAGGGAUUUUGGUAAACAGCUGGCAGUCUUUGCUGCAUGCAUUAUUUCUGCCUCAGCAAAAUAAAAGUUGACUAUGUAAAACAGAGGUCAUGUGUGUAGAGGUCAUUGUGUAUACCCUUGGGAUAUACACAAGCAUUCAAACCAAUGAAUAGUGAGAAUUUAUUCUACCCAAGCAACUAUUUAUGCCGAAUAUUCAGAAGGGGAGGGGAGCAGGAAAGAAAUGGUUUAUUUUCUUUAAAUUAUUGAAAAUAUUAGCUUAUAUCAAUUUUCUCAAGUGAUGAAAAUGCAGGGGUUAAGCCUUUAUUUUUUUUUUAAAGUAAAUAUUAGUAUUAUGUAGUAUAUGUUAAGAAGGUUUUUUUCUCUUCAUUUCUUAAUCUAUUGAGGGAAGGACUAGGCAAAUGAAGUUAGGCUUCUUUUCUCAGGGGGCCUAACUGUUGGCCCAGGCUGGGUUCCAAGAACUAAUACAAGGAAUGGUAACUGGUGGGGUUGUCUUUUUGCUGAAUGAAGAGAAGAAAAGAAGAAUUCCAAGUCUGUUUCCCAGGCACAGGAAGGACCAGGAAGCAAGGAAACUUCCAAUUUUCAAGUCCACUGAGCAGAAUACAAGAACAGGGUCCAAAACAAAGAGUUCUCCGUUGAGAACCGGCAAGAUGGAGCAAGCAAGUCCUGCAGGCAGGCUGGGCCUGGAGAGGCGCCAAGAGGCCACAGCACUCUUGGGAGGAGGUUUUUCUGGACUCUUGAGGAGCUGAGACUUUUAUAUUCCAACCCUGCCUUUAAUUUGAGGUUUGCCUCCUCCCUCCAUUUGCAGAAGAGUAAUCCGAAGCUAAAUCAUUCAUAACAUGAGAAUGCUGAUCUGUGUCCAGCCCUUGUGAAGGGAAAAGAAAACAAAACUUCACAAACAUAAUUAGUAGAACUACCUAUAAAACCUAAUGUUAAAAGAGAAAUUAGCUUUCAUGGAGAGAAAGUGUGAUGGCAUGACACAGAAAUUAAGUGCACUGAAUUUAGAUUUGAAAAGAGUUUGAUUCAAUUCAUGUCCCUGCUUCCCAGUAGUCCGUGACCUUGGGCAAGUGACCUAUACUCUCUAAAUCUUAGUUUCCUUAUCUGUAAGAUGGGAGAUGAAAAUAAUACCUAAUUCAUAUUUUUUAAGAACUUAAUGAAAGAAUGUUCAAAUGUAUCUAAUAAGGUAUAGGAACUCAACACAUGCCAGUUAAACAAAUUUCUAAUAAUUGACUUUCUUAUUUCUUCCUUUCUGGGUAAAACAACUGUCCUUUGUAUACUUUCAUUUUUUGGAGACAGAGUCUCACUCUGUCUUUUUUUGGAGACAGAGACUCACUCUGUCAUCCAGGCUGAAGUGCAGUGGUACGAUCUCGGCUCACUACAACCUCUGCCUCCCAGUUUAAACAAUUCUCCUGCCUCAGCCUCUCGAGUAGCUGGACUAGGACUACAGGCGGGAGCCAUCAUGCCUGGCUGGUUUUUUUUGUAUCUAAGUAGAAAUGGGGUUUCACCAUGCUGCCCAGGCUGGUCUUGAACUCCUGAGCUCAGGCAAUCCACCUGCUUCAGCCUCUCAAAGUGCUAGGAUUACAGGCGUGAGCCACUGCACCCGGCCUGCCCCUUGUAUACAUAAAAAACAAUCAAUCAAAUCUUCCUCCAUGACCCCUUAAGCACUAUUGAGUAAAGGUGGGAUCUUAAGUUGUGACAACUGAUAUAUGUAAAAUGUCAAUUUAAGAACAUCUCCUUUCAGACAUGAGUAUUUCCCUGCAAACUUAGGUUUAUGUCUAAGAUCUUAAGGAAAUAAAUACUAUAAAAAGACAUAGUUCAAAUAAUGUAUUAAUAGAAAAAAGGUCCAUAGGAAUAUCUCAGUGUUUUCUUUUAUAUGAGAUGUAUCAUAUGCUAAGAAUAUACAAUUCUCUAGAAUUUAUUAUUUUUCAAAGUAUUCUUUGAGAGGCCAUCUCUCCUGUUAUUACUUUGUCCAGGUAAGUGGGAAUUUCAUUCGUGAGGACUCCAAGUCCUAUCUAUGGAGUCCAUUAUCACUGGGCAUGCCAGUACAUCUUCUGGCAAACUGUGACAACAGUCUUCAUUGGCAACCGAGAGAACAAAAGAGGAUUUUUCUAAAGGUGAUGAGGCAGAAAAGGGAAGCAGAUGGCCCUGAGGAACACGG
rnacentral:lncRNA from 1 species